rnacentral:lncRNA from 1 species
CUUAUUUAUUGUCCUUUUGUUCAGCACAGCAGCAGGCGGGAGAAAGGAGUCAGAAAAUUUCAGAGAAGCAGCCCAGCAGACACCACAGUCAGUGUAUGAGGACAGGAAGUACUCCAGGCACUGCAAAGUUCCCUUGCAGCCCAGGAGAGGCCCAUGGUGUAGCAGGCUGUUCCCUUGCAGCCCAUGAAGCAUCAUAUCAGAGCAGAUAUCCUCACUGUAGCCUGAGGAAGAGCCCAUGCUGAAGUAGGUGGAUAUGGCCUGAAGGAAGGUACUAUUCGUGGAGAGCCCCUACAGAAGAAGACAAUGGGCUGGAGCUGCAUCCCAUGGAAAGAUGUCCACAGUGGAGCAGGAGGGAUCCAUGCUGGAGCUGUC